CCUACGGGUGGCAGCAGUGAGGAAUAUUGGUCAAUGGACGAGAGUCUGAACCAGCCAAGUAGCGUGAAGGAUGACUGCCCUAUGGGUUGUAAACUUCUUUUAUAUGGGAAUAAAAUGUUCCACGUGUGGGAUUUUGUAUGUACCAUAUGAAUAAGGAUCGGCUAACUCCGUGCCAGCAGCCGCGGUAAUACGGAGGAUCCGAGCGUUAUCCGGAUUUAUUGGGGUUAAAGGGAGCGUAGGUGGAUUGUUAAGUCAGUUGUGAAAGUUUGCGGCUCAACCGUAAAAUUGCAGUUGAAACUGGCAGUCUUGAGUACAGGAGAGGUGGGCGGAAUGCGUGGUGUAGCGGUGAAAUGCUUAGAUAUCACGAAGAACUCCGAUUGCGAAGGCAGUUCACUGGACUGCAACUGACACUGAGGCUCGAAAGUGUGGGUAUCAAACAGGAUUAGAUACCCUUGUAGUC
rnacentral:rRNA from 1 species